CGGAAGUGCCUGGUUAACUGUCAGGAGUUGAGAUGAUCCUCGGUUCUGAAAGGAAGGCGAAGGAGCCAGGUCGUGAAGCUCAGGAUCCUGUGCAGCCAGCAAGCCAAAGGAAUCAGAGGUCCACUACCUCUUCCUGCACCCACAUCCUUGUCAUCGAAUCGGACGACAGUCUUACCUUAGGAAAGGCCUCCCAGUUAAAGAAAGGAAACGCCUUUUUGAUGAACUAAGAGAAGAAAAGAAGAGGCCACGUAAGCAGGGAUCAGGAAGCGCUCACUGAGUGAACUUCCUGAAGUACCCAGGAAACUGUUUUCUCAUCCUUAGAGUGAAAGCCAAUAUUCUCUGUGUGUCUUACACUAACUGUUCAGCAGCAACCCUCUGAAGUGGACACUGUCACCAUCCCCACAUUAAAGAGGAGGAAAGUGAAGCUCUGAAAACUGAAGACAUCUGCUUGAGGUCACAUAAAAAAUAAACGCAGUCAUGAGAUGCGAGCUGUGGUCCAGCUAUGUCACUGACUUGGCCUUCUACAUUUGGGUAGCUCCGUUCCUUUGUGAAGGGUAAGAGGAUUCAAAUAAAAUCCUGACAAAAGUCUUCCUCUUAUAAAACUCUUUCUGUGGCUCUGUUCCCUGACUGCCUUCUUAGGACAAUAGAGUGUAGCUGUGGCAACCUCCUGGGG
rnacentral:lncRNA from 1 species